rnacentral:rRNA from 1 species
AGAGUGAACGCUGGCGGUAGGCCUAACACAUGCAAGUCGAACGGCAGCACAGUGGUAGCAAUACCAUGGGUGGCGAGUGGCGGACGGGUGAGGAAUACAUCGGAAUCUACCUUUUCGUGGGGGGAUAACGUAGGGAAACUUACGCUAAUACCGCAUACGCCCUUCGGGGGAAAGCCGGGGAUCGCAGACCUGGCGCGGAUAGAUGAGCCGAUGUCGGAUUAGCUAGUUGGUGAGGUAAUGGCUCACCAAGGCGACGAUCCGUAGCUGGUCUGAGAGGAUGAUCAGCCACACUGGAACUGAGACACGGUCCAGACUCCUA